rnacentral:rRNA from 1 species
UUCGCAAUGCCCGAAAGGGUGACGAAGCGACGCCGCGUGCGGGAAGAAGGCCUUCGGGUUGUAAACCGCUGUCGGGAGUUAAGAAAUGCAGAGAUGUUAAUAGCGUCUUUGCUUGACUAAGGCUCCGGAGGAAGCCACGGCUAACUCUGUGCCAGCAGCCGCGGUAAUACAGAGGCGGCAAGCGUUGUUCGGAAUUAUUGGGCGUAAAGAGCACGUAGGCGGCUAUGUAAGUCGGUUGUGAAAGCCUUCCGCUCAACGGGAGAACAGCAUCCGAUACUGCAUGGCUUGAGUGCGGGAGGGGAGAGUGGAACUUCUGGUGGGGCGGUGAAAUGCGUAGAUAUCAGAAGGAACGCCGGCGGCGAAAGCGGCUCUCUGGCCCAUAACUGACGCUGAGUGUGCGAAAGCUAGGGGAGCAAACGGGAUUAGAUACCCCGGUAGUCCUAGCCGUGAACGAUGGGCACUAAGUAGAGGGGUUUU